rnacentral:rRNA from 1 species
UACGUAGGGGGCUAGCGUUGUUCGGAAUUACUGGGCGUAAAGCGUGUGUAGGUGGUUGCCAUAGUCAGGUGUGAAAACCCGGGGCUCAACUCCGGGCCUGCAGCCGAUACGGGCAGACUAGAGUUCGGCAGGGGAGACUGGAAUUCCUGGUGUAGCGGUGAAAUGCGCAGAUAUCAGGAGGAACACCGGUGGCGAAGGCGGGUCUCUGGGCAGCAUCUGACACUGAGGCACGAAGGCCAGGGGAGCAAACGGG